rnacentral:rRNA from 1 species
GAUGAACGCUGGCGGCGUGCCUAACACAUGCAAGUCGAGCGAACCCUUCGGGGUGAGCGGCGGACGGGUGAGUAACGCGUGGGUAACCUGCCCUGUACACACGGAUAACAUACCGAAAGGUAUGCUAAUACGAGAUGAUAUAUAAAAGUUGCAUGACUUUUAUAUCAAAGCUUUUGCGGUACAGGAUGGACCCGCGUCUGAUUAGCUAGUUGGUAAGGUAACGGCUUACCAAGGCGACGAUCAGUAGCCGACCUGAGAGGGUGAUCGGCCACACUGGAACUGAGACACGGUCCAGACUCCUACGGGAGGCAGCAGUGGGGAAUAUUGCACAAUGGGCGAAAGCCUGAUGCAGCAACGCCGCGUGAGCGAUGAAGGCCUUCGGGUCGUAAAGCUCUGUCCUCAAGGAAGAUAAUGACGGUACUGAGAGAGCCCCGWUUUGG